rnacentral:rRNA from 1 species
CGGAGGGUGCAAGCGUUAUCCGGAUUCACUGGGUUUAAAGGGUGCGUAGGCGGGUAAGUAAGUCAGUGGUGAAAUCUCCGAGCUUAACUCGGAAACUGCCGUUGAUACUAUUUAUCUUGAAUAUCAUGGAGGUAAGCGGAAUAUGUCAUGUAGCGGUGAAAUGCUUAGAUAUGACAUAGAACACCGAUAGCGAAGGCAGCUUACUACAUGUUAAUUGACGCUGAGGCACGAAAGCGUGGGGAGCAAACAGGAUUAGAUACCCUGGUAGUCCACGCCCUAAACGAUGGAUACUCGACAUCAGCGAUACACUGUUGGUGUCUGAGCGAAAGCAUUAAGUAUCCCACCUGGGAAGUACGACCGCAAGGUUG